UAGCUAAUACUCCAUAAUGUCUAUCCCUCACCUGGGGGCUAGAUCAAACGCCUUUGGCGCUCAAGGAUGGGGUCGCGUCGGAUUAGCUCGUUGGUGAGGUAAUGGCUCACCAAGGCAACAAUCCGUAGCUGGUCUGAGAGGAUGAUCAGCCACACUGGCACUGAGACACGGGCCAGACUCCUACGGGAGGCAGCAGUGGGGAAUCUUAGGCAAUGGGGGAAACCCUGACCUAGCCAUGCCGCGUGGAGGAAGACACCCCUAUGGGGCGUAAACUCCUUUUCUACCGGAAGAAAACCCUGUUUUGCAGGGCGUGACGGUACGGUAGGAAUAAGCACCGGCUAACUCCGUGCCAGCAGCCGCGGUAAUACGGAGGGUGCAAGCGUUGUCCGGAAUCACUGGGCGUAAAGGGUGUGUAGGUGGGAUAGCAAGUCAGAGGUGAAAGCCUGCGGCUUAACCGUAGAAGUGCCUUUGAAACUGCUAUUCUUGAGUCCUAGAGAGGUUGCUGGAAUUCGUGGUGUAGCGGUGAAAUGCGUAGAUAUCACGAGGAACACCAG
rnacentral:rRNA from 1 species